GCGCGGUUGGCGUAGAGGUUUAACGUACCCGCCUUCCAUUCACGGUCUAGACCCUACAAGGAGGAAGCGGGGGACCCUGGCUCAAGCCCCGGACCGCGCA